rnacentral:rRNA from 1 species
AUGAUCCUCGGCGACAGCCAGCGUGCAUUGUUCUAGGAAGACCGUUGGCUCAAUGGGCGCGCCAUCUCAGAACUAGCGCCACAGCUACACGCCCUCAUCCCCAAACACCGCCGCAAGAGCAGGACGGUGGCAGACGGACUGCAUGCGCACCAAUGGGCAUCGGACAUACAGGGCACCCUUGGGAUCCGCGAGAUCGGCCAAUACCUGCUUACUUGGCAUGCGAUCGAGCACAUCACACUCACUGCCGAGCCGGAUCGCCUGCAUUGGAAGUGGAACGCGGCAGGUACCUACACAGCCACUUCUUGCUACUCUACCAUGUUCAUUGGCUUGCUGCCAGACCCGCACCGGCGGCUAACUUGGAAAACCUGGGCGCCUCGAACCAAGAUCUUCAUGUGGUUGGCUGCCCAAGACUGGUGCUGGGCCGCGGAAAGGCUCGCGCGUCACGGCUUGCCUCACACCGAUUAUUGCCUCCUAUGCAACCAGGAGCCAGAGAGCAUGCAGCACCUCCUGGUUGGCUGCUCCUCUCGCCAGCUUUGGUACGAGUAA